rnacentral:rRNA from 1 species
GGUCCGAGUUGUAAUUUGCAGAGGAUGCUUCGGGUGCGGUCCCCGUCUAAGUGCCCUGGAACGGGCCGUCAUAGAGGGUGAGAAUCCCGUCUGGGAUGGGCGGCCGCGCCCGUGUGAAGCUCCUUCGACGAGUCGAGUUGUUUGGGAAUGCAGCUCUAAGCGGGUGGUAAAUUUCAUCUAAAGCUAAAUACUGGCCGGAGACCGAUAGCGCACAAGUAGAGUGAUCGAAAGAUGAAAAGCACUUUGAAAAGAGAGUUAAACAGCACGUGAAAUUGUUGAAAGGGAAGCGUUGUCCACCAGACUCGCCCGGGGGGGUUCAGCCGGCACGUGUGCCGGUGUACUCCUCUCCGGGCGGGCCAGCAUCGGUUUGGGCGGUUGGUGAAAGGCCCCGGGAAUGUAACACCCUCCGGGGUGCCUUAUAGCCCGGGGUGCCAUACANCCAGCCUGGACCGAGGCCCGCGCUUCNGCGAGGAUGCUGGCGUAAUGGUGGUCAACGGCCCGNCUUGAAACACGGACCAAGGAGUCUAACAUCUAUGCGAGUGUUCGGGUGUUAAACCCGUCC